GACGAACGCUGGCGGCGUGCCUAAUACAUGCAAGUCGAACGAGAGCAACCGGUGCUUGCACUGGUCAAUCUAGUGGCGAACGGGUGAGUAACACGUGGGUAACCUGCCCAUCAGAGGGGGAUAACAUCCGGAAACGGAUGCUAAAACCGCAUAGGUCUUCGAGCCGCAUGGCUUGAAGAGGAAAAGAGGCGCAAGCUUCUGCUGAUGGAUGGACCCGCGGUGCAUUAGCUAGUUGGUGAGGUAACGGCUCACCAAGGCCGUGAUGCAUAGCCGACCUGAGAGGGUGAUCGGCCACAUUGGGACUGAGACACGGCCCAAACUCCUACGGGAGGCAGCAGUAGGGAAUCUUCCGCAAUGGACGCAAGUCUGACGGAGCAACGCCGCGUGAGUGAAGAAGGUGUUCGGAUCGUAAAACUCUGUUGUUAGAGAAGAACAAGUGCUAGAGUAACUGUUAGCGCCUUGACGGUAUCUAACCAGAAAGCCACGGCUAACUACGUG
rnacentral:rRNA from 1 species